GAUGAACGCUGGCGGCGUGCCUAAUACAUGCAAGUCGAGCGAACGGACGAGAAGCUUGCUUUUCUGAUGUUAGCGGCGGACGGGUGAGUAACACGUGGAUAACCUACCUAUAAGACUGGGAUAACUUCGGGAAACCGGAGCUAAUAUCGGAUAAUAUUUUGAACCGCAUGGUUCAAAAGUGAAAGACGGUCUUGCUGUCACUUAUAGAUGGAUCCGCGCUGCAUUAGCUAGUUGGUAAGGUAACGGCUUACCAAGGCAACGAUGCAUAGCCGACCUGAGAGGGUGAUCGGCCACACUGGAACUGAGACACGGUCCAGACUCCUACGGGAGGCAGCAGUAGGGAAUCUUCCGCAAUGGGCGAAAGCCUGACGGAGCAACGCCGCGUGAGUGAUGAAGGUCUUCGGAUCGUAAAACUCUGUUAUUAGGGAAGAACAUAUGUGUAAGUAACUGUGCACAUCUUGACGGUACCUAAUCAGAAAGCCACGGCCAACUACGUG
rnacentral:rRNA from 1 species